rnacentral:rRNA from 1 species
CACUAUGACUCCUACGGGAGGCAGCAGUGGGGAAUAUUGCACAAUGGGGGAAACCCUGAUGCAGCCAUGCCGGCGUGUGUGAAGAAGGCCUUCGGGUUGUAAAGCACUUUCAGUAGGGAGGAAGGUAGUGUAGUUAACACCUGCACCUAUUUGACGUUACCUACAGAAGAAGCACCGGCUAACUCCGUGCCAGCAGCCGCGGUAAUACGGAGGGUGCGAGCGUUAAUCGGAAUUACUGGGCGUAAAGCGCAUGCAGGCGGCCUGUUAAGUCAGAUGUGAAAGCCCGGGGCUUAACCUCGGAAUUGCAUUUGAAACUGGCAGGCUAGAGUCUUGUAGAGGGGGUAGAAUUUCAGGUGUAGCGGUGAAAUGCGUAGAGAUCUGAAGGAAUACCAGUGGCGAAGGCGGCCCCCUGGACAAAGACUGACGCUCAGAUGCGAAAGCGUGGGGAGCAAACAGGAUUAGAUACCCUGGUAG